rnacentral:rRNA from 1 species
AACGAACGCUGGCGGCAGGCUUAACACAUGCAAGUCGAACGCCCCGCAAGGGGAGUGGCAGACGGGUGAGUAACGCGUGGGAAUCUACCCAUCCCUACGGAACAACUCCGGGAAACUGGAGCUAAUACCGUAUACGCCCUACGGGGGAAAGAUUUAUCGGGGAUGGAUGAGCCCGCGUUGGAUUAGCUAGUUGGUGGGGUAAAGGCCUACCAAGGCGACGAUCCAUAGCUGGUCUGAGAGGAUGAUCAGCCACAUUGGGACUGAGACACGGCCCAAACUCCUACGGGAGGCAGCAGUGGGGAAUAUUGGACAAUGGGCGCAAGCCUGAUCCAGCCAUGCCGCGUGAGUGAUGAAGGUCUUAGGAUUGUAAAGCUCUUUCACCGGUGAAGAUAAUGACGGUAACCGGAGAAGAAGCCCCGGCUAACUUCGUGCCAGCCGCCGCAGUAACAC